rnacentral:lncRNA from 1 species
CCUGACUUGCCGCCAGAUUCCUUUUGGCUGUCGAAGGACGCGGAGUUUGACUGGUUUGACCGCAACGCAUUCUACGAGCGUAAGGAGUCGCAAAAGGGCCACUCCCACUCCAACCCGAUUGGCCUGAACCCGAAUCCGAGUUCGACUUCUCAGAGGUUUUCCACUCCGACGACGACGACUUUGAAGACCAAGACUUCGAUCAUUGGCCUGCCCAAGCCGCAGCAGAAGUUUGACCCCAAGUGUAAGAGACACUGUAAAACCAACACCAACUGGUUCCCCAAGCGAUCCGGCUCGGUUGGCAAAUCGGAUGGUCCCUUGUGCGAAC